UUGAACGCUGGCGGAAUGUCUUUACACAUGCAAGUCGAACGGUAGAGGGGCAACCCUCGAGAGUGGCGAACGGGUGAGUAAUAUAUCGGAACGUGCCCAGUCGGUGGGGGAUAACGUAGCGAAAGUUUACGCUAAUACCGCAUACGAUCUACGGAUGAAAGCGGGGGACUCGCAAGAGCCUCGCGCGAUUGGAGCGGCCGAUAUCAGAUUAGGUAGUUGGUGGGGUAAAGGCUCACCAAGCCAACGAUCUGUAGCUGGUCUGAGAGGACGACCAGCCACACUGGAACUGAGACACGGUCCAGACUCCUACGGGAGGCAGCAGUGGGGAAUUUUGGACAAUGGACGAAAGUCUGAUCCAGCCAUUCCGCGUGCAGGAUGAAGGCCCUCGGGUUGUAAACUGCUUUUGUACGGAACGAAAAGGUCUCUAUUAAUACUAGGGGCUCAUGACGGUACCGUAAGAAUAAGCACCGGCUAACUACGUG
rnacentral:rRNA from 1 species